rnacentral:rRNA from 1 species
AGGGAUCAUUACCGAGUUUACAACUCCCAAACCCAAUGUGAACGUUACCAAACUGUUGCCUCGGCGGGAUCUCUGCCCCGGGUGCGUCGCAGCCCCGGACCAAGGCGCCCGCCGGAGGACCAACCAAAACUCUUUUUGUAUACCCCCUCGCGGGUUUUUUAUAAUCUGAGCCUUCUCGGCGCCUCUCGUAGGCGUUUCGAAAAUGAAUCAAAACUUUCAACAACGGAUCUCUUGGUUCUGGCAUCGAUGAAGAACGCAGCGAAAUGCGAUAAGUAAUGUGAAUUGCAGAAUUCAGUGAAUCAUCGAAUCUUUGAACGCACAUUGCGCCCGCCAGUAUUCUGGCGGGCAUGCCUGUCCGAGCGUCAUUUCAACCCUCGAACCCCUCCGGGGGGUCGGCGUUGGGGAUCGGCCCUGCCUCUUGGCGGCGGCCGUCUCCGAAAUACAGUGGCGGUCUCGCCGCAGCCUCUCCUGCGCAGUAGUUUGCACACUCGCAUCGGGAGCGCGGCGCGUCCACAGCCGUUAAACACCCAACUUCUGAAAUGUUGACCUCGGAUCAGGUAGGAAUACCCGCUGAACUUAA